CCUACGGGUGGCAGCAGUCGAGAAUCAUUCACAAUGGGGGAAACCCUGAUGGUGCGACGCCGCGUGGGGGAAUGAAGGUCUUCGGAUUGUAAACCCCAGUCAUGUGGGAGCAAAUUAAAAAGAUAGUACCACAAGAGGAAGAGACGGCUAACUCUGGUGCAGCAGCCGCGGUAAUACAGAGGUCUCAAGCGUUGUUCGGAAUCACUGGGCGUAAAGCGUGCGUAGGCUGCUUCGUAAGUCGUGUGUGAAAGGCGCGGGCUCAACCCGCGGACGGCACAUGAUACUGCGAGACUAGAGUAAGGGAGAGGGAACCGGAAUUCUCGGUGUAGCAGUGAAAUGCGUAGAUAUCGAGAGGAACACUCGUGGCGAAGGCGGGUUCCUGGACAGUAACUGACGCUGAGGCACGAAGGCCAGGGGAGCGAAAGGGAUUAGAUACCCCUGUAGUC
rnacentral:rRNA from 1 species